UCGAGAAUUUUUCUCAAUGGGGGAAACCCUGAAGGAGCGACGCCGCGUGGAGGAUGAAGGUCUUCGGGUUGUAAACUCCUGUCAUUUGAGAACAAGUGCCGGCAAGUAACUACUGCCGGCUUGAUAGUAUCAGAAGAGGAAGAGACGGCUAACUCUGUGCCAGCAGCCGCGGUAAUACAGAGGUCUCAAGCGUUGUUCGGAUUCAUUGGGCGUAAAGGGUGUGUAGGUGGCGCCGUAAGUCGGGUGUGAAAUCUCGGGGCUUAACUCCGAAACUGCAUUCGAUACUACGGUGCUUGAGGACUGGAGAGGAGACUGGAAUUCAUGGUGUAGCAGUGAAAUGCGUAGAGAUCAUGAGGAAGACCAGUGGCGAAGGCGGGUCUCUGGACAGUUCCUGACACUGAGACACGAAGGCCAGGGGAGCAAACGG
rnacentral:rRNA from 1 species